CAGCAGCCGCGGUAAUACGAAGGGGGCUAGCGUUGCUCGGAAUCACUGGGCGUAAAGGGUGCGUAGGCGGGUCUUUAAGUCAGGGGUGAAAUCCUGGAGCUCAACUCCAGAACUGCCUUUGAUACUGAAGAUCUUGAGUUCGGGAGAGGUGAGUGGAACUGCGAGUGUAGAGGUGAAAUUCGUAGAUAUUCGCAAGAACACCAGUGGCGGAGGCGGCUCACUGGCCCGAUACUGACGCUGAGGCACGAAAGCGUGGGGAGCAAACAGGAUUAGAUACCCGCGUAGUCCCUGUCUCUUAUAC
rnacentral:rRNA from 1 species